UACUAGAGUAGCACUCGCAUAUCAAUAAGCGGAGGAAAAGAAACUAACAAGGAUUCCCCUAGUAACGGCGAGUGAAGCGGGAAGAGCUCAAAUUUGAAAUCUUAAAGGGUUUCCCUUUACGAAUUGUAGUUUAAAGAAGUGUUUUCUGUUGAGGUUUUGGUAAAAGUUCUUUGGAAUAGGACAUCAUAGAGGGUGAGAAUCCCGUAUUUGACCUUUACUUUCAACUUUGUGAUACACUUUCAAAGAGUCGGAUUGUUUGGGAAUGCAGUCCAAAAUGGGUGGUAAAUUUCAUCUAAAGCUAAAUAUUGGCGAGAGACCGAUAGCGAACAAGUACCGUGAGGGAAAGAUGAAAAGAACUUUGAAAAGAGAGUUAAACAGUACGUGAAAUUGUCAAAAGGGAAGCGUUUGACACCAGUGUUGUUUUUCUGAAAAUCAAUUAAAGAACUGUUUAUGCUAAGUUGUUUAGACUUUAUCAGCUAUCUGUUUAGUUUUGAGCUUUUCUUUAAUGCACUUUUCAGUUAACAAGUCAACAUCAAUUUCUUUUGCUGUAAAAAAGCUUGAGGAAGGUGGCUUGAGAUUCGUCUUAAGUGUUUAUAGCCUCUUGCCUAUGCAGUCGGAGAGAUUGAGGUCUGCAGCGUAGAUCCUUCGGGGCUAAAUGCAUUUGUGCUAAGUUAUAGCAUUUUAUAGACAACUUGUUGACUAUGAUUUGUCUUGUAGCUUACUCGCUUAUGUUAUUUUACCUACGCUUAGGAUGUUGAUCUCUCACAGUCGAGC
rnacentral:rRNA from 1 species